CAGGGAUUACCUCAGUAACGGCGAGUGAAGCGGUAACAGCUCAAAUUUGAAAGCUGGCUCUUUUAGGGUCCGCGUUGUAAUUUGUAGAAGAUGCUUCGGGUGUGGCCCCGGUCUAAGUUCCUUGGAACAGGACGUCAUAGAGGGUGAGAAUCCCGUAUGUGACUGGGUGCUUUCGCUCAUGUGAAGCUCUUUCGACGAGUCGAGUUGUUUGGGAAUGCAGCUCAAAAUGGGUGGUAAAUUUCAUCUAAAGCUAAAUAUUGGCCAGAGACCGAUAGCGCACAAGUAGAGUGAUCGAAAGAUGAAAAGCACUUUGGAAAGAGAGUUAAACAGUACGUGAAAUUGUUGAAAGGGAAGCGCUUGCAACCAGACUUGCGCGCUGAUGAUCAUCCGGGCUUCUGCCCGGUGCACUCGUCUGCGCUCAGGCCAGCAUCGGUUUCGGUGGUGGGAUAAAGGCCUUGGGAAUGUGGCUCCUCUCGGGGAGUGUUAUAGCCCUCGGUGCAAUGCCGCCUACCGGGACCGAGG
rnacentral:rRNA from 2 species